UGGCCAUAUGGUGUUGAAACACUAGUUCCCAUAUGAUUACUAAAGUUAAGCAAUGUCAAGCCUGGUCAGUACCUAGAUGAAUGACUACUUGCAAAUUCCAGGUGCUGUAAG